GCAAAAAUGGGUAACAAAACUUCUUGGAUUUGAUUAUGAAAUAACUUACAAAAAGGAGAAAGAGAAUGUUCUUGUAGAUGCGCUUUCGCAGCUACUCGAGCAAGCUGGAGUUUCAGUCAUUUCCUUUCCGAUCAACGACUUCCUUGAGGAUAUUAAGAUGGAAUGGCAGGAAGAUUCAGAGACUAGUAAGAUUAUAAAAAAAUUGGAGGAAGCACCAAGCUCC
rnacentral:lncRNA from 1 species